GCUAAGAGAAGAGCACGUGCUGCACUACCAGAGCAACCACAGCGCCUUCAACAAUCAGCAGAACCUUCUGAAACAACACAUUGCCGAGAUCAAGGAAAGCGAAGCAAAGCAUUGCAGCAAAGGAACAGAUAUAGAACGAGGAGGGGAGGAAGUAGCAGGAGAGGAGUGAAUUUCCCCCAGUGGGGGUCCCUUAUGAAGAUUGAAGCAGAUUUGACCCGCAGACCAAACCGAGACGUACCUGUACCGCUCGUCAGUCAUUUAUGUGAAAUUGCUGCGACAAGGUAAUGACUACACGGGUCAGGGAGCCGCUCCCAAGGCCUAAUCUUUCAAUCGACCCACAAGGUCCAGAGAUACAACUGACUCCUGACCUUCCCCAAGCCUCGCCGACUGCAUGAGAGGAGGAUGCCUGCAGAUAAUGACUUCUGGCACAGCAUCACCACAUUAGAGGGAAUCCAUCAUAUUAAUGAUCCCAAGGCCACUUCAUUAUUCACAGAGAAGCAGCUCGGCUGUCCAAAUAAAUUAUCAUUGGUGUUCCAUUAAUGGAAGUUUUCGAAUCUCGCCGCAGAAGAUGCCAUUAAUCUGCACACAGCGCCUCUCCAGAGUGGAACGGUCGGCUACUGUACCACUGCCAGCGAUCUGUGAAGAAGAGGAGCUCCCCACCGUCCUCGCUCACUUUCCUUAUGUGGGAGGAAGUCCAAUUAUGAUUGACGUUAACUACUGCGGCUCCAGACCGGAUCUCUCCCAAGCUGCACACUUUGCAUUUUUUAUACACUGCUAAAGGGAUAUGUGCUUACAGGUGAAGGGUAGAGCUACAAAGUGGUGCUUCUGUCUGAAACUGUGGAUGAGAAACUCCGACCUCUCGCCUCCUGAUGGAGCACUUUCGGCUAAUUCGACACAUAUUGCAUUUGUGCGUUGGAAAAUUGCGAAGCCAAAAGCCUCUGCCGCUCCCCAGGGACUCCCCGCACAUCCAUUCCCCCUGCACACACACGUGGGCCAACUCCCAGACACAUACUGUUAAUAUUCUGAUUGGACAUUUGUAGAAGGACCUUGAAAAGUCACGUACUGUGCAACUUUCUAACACUUUAAUGAAAUUGCUUCUCAUAAUGUUGGCAUUCACCGACUAUUAUGUUUUUCAUUAUGACAGCCUACUGUAGGAGUCAAACUCAUUUCCAUUUUCUCCGAAUGUAAGAGAGCAAUAAAUCCAUUUCCUUUAACGCCCUGCAGACCGCCUGGCUUUACUAUCAGACAAAUAACUAAAGUGAAGUUCUGUAAUACAGCACUCGGAAAUUAAUUAUGUGGCAGCCUGAUAUCAGCUUUUUAUGGUAAACAAAGUGAGCUGUAUAAAAGAGCUUUUGUUGUGUUUGUCAGCUCUUAAGCUCAAUUUGCUUAGUAGAAAUAGCCACUGCCUGAAGGUGCUCAGCUGGAUCUGUUAUUUAUUUCCCCACCUACCCGCUCUUAUUCACCAUCAACGUUGAUUUCCAUACUCUCUCUCUCAUAACAGGACGUGGCGCUGUCAUCGCCUUCCUGGCCAGCUCAUUGCACCCCUGAGUCAGGUGGUGAAUGUGAGGCAGUAUUUAGCUGCGGCUUGCUGUUCUGCCGUGAGUUUUCAGUUGGAGGCUUGCAGCAUGCCUCCAGGUCUGGAAGGAGCUCCAGCUUCUGUUCCUGCCAAAAUCUUCCCGUGUGCUGAACCUCCUCCUGCUCAUGCACCUGAACCUGGCGCUGCAGGGAUUGAAGUCCCACAGUUUUCUGCGAACUGACCUCUUUGGCCAAAUGGAUGAGGUCUUCACGCAGCACCUGAUGUCUGCAAUAAA